rnacentral:rRNA from 1 species
UACGAAGGGGGCUAGCGUUGCUCGGAAUCACUGGGCGUAAAGCGCACGUAGGCGGAUCUUUAAGUCAGGGGUGAAAUCCUGGAGCUCAACUCCAGAACUGCCUUUGAUACUGGGGAUCUCGAGUCCGGAAGAGGUGAGUGGAAUUCCCAGUGUAGAGGUGAAAUUCGUAGAUAUUGGGAAGAACACCAGUGGCGAAGGCGGCUCACUGGUCCGCAACUGACGCUGAGGCGCGAAAGCGUGGGGAGCAAACAGG